UUCAUUUUCGUCUUGUUUUCUCGAAAUCUUUCGAUAUCCUUACGCCUCGCUCGGAGAGUCAGUUCCAUAGGAAAUAAGAACGAUCUUACGAUUCUGCCAUCAUCGAUUACGAUACUUUACGUACAGUUUGAGAUCAUGAAAUACCAUGCAUAAUGUUCUACGUGUAAUUCUGCUGUAUCGACAUCUGGAGUCCCGGCGAUGGACUGGAGGGAGAGACGGAGCGAGAGAGAGAGAGAGAGAGAGAUAGAUAGAGAGAAUAGCGGAGGCUGAAGAGCGACCUUACGCGACGCUACGAGACACAGCGAAUCCUUUCAGAAGCGGCUAUGUUUAUCGACGUAAUAUUUGCUCGUACGUCCGCGUGGAAUGAAGCGUACACGCAGCGGUGAAAUUUGUUUAAUUUGUCGAGUGAUAAUUUAAUAUAAUUUUUUGCGCAAACGUCGCGCAACCGCGCGGCCUGCUCAGAACACGGUCCAAACGACCACGGCGAAUCGCGAUGCGAGUUUUCGUGGCGAUCGGCUGAUCGAUGCGACGAGCCCUUUUCACCCUUUCGACCCUUCUUCGUCUUCGCGCGUCGUUUUAUUUUCGCCACGUUUAUCGUAACGACGAUUGUAUGGAAAACAACGUGUACUGUAAAGUGUCUGUGUAAAAUUGUUUCUUUCAAAUAUAUACUUGUAACAACGUU